ensembl:lncRNA
AGCUGAAUUUAUGUAAUUGUGGAGAUGUGAACAGUGGCAGAUAGCAUACUGCAAAUAAAGAUUCCGAAUGGCGUAGUUAAAUAUAAAUCUUUUCAUUGUAUACUGGAAGUUCUGAUGCUAACACACGAGAAUAUACAACCUCUGAAACCCAAAUUGUAUGGGUAAACUUUUUCAAGAAAAUUUGCAUGACAUCCCCAGGUGCUCUAACAUGUAGCUAACACACUCAUAUACAGUGAUGGUCCUUUGAGUGCUGAUAUCAUUUGCCAAAGUGACUCAGUAAAGGCAUUUCUAUAUUUGAACAUAAGCACAAAAAGAACUCAAGAUGACCAAAAGCCACAGAGAAUAUAGUUCAAAUAGAACUAUGUGCAAUUACUAACAACUGUGUAGGGUGGGGUUUGUUUGCUGGUUUUUAUUAUUAUUAUUUUGUUUUGGGGUUGUUUUUUUUUUAACUUGUUUUUUAUCUUAAACUGUUAAAUUUCUGGGUAAAAUUUUAUAUAGAUCCUCAUUCUCUUUUCUUCUUGGUCACAGGAGAAAAGGAAAUGGCUUGCUUAAGGCAUCUGCAAAAGGGUGUGUUUGUUAAACAUAAUGCCUCUGACAAGGUGCAAAGAGCACACAUUUGUUCCUUCGCUGCGUCAAGGUGUAUAUAGCUUGGAACUGAUGACUGACAUGAGGAAAAUCAUACAAUCAGCAAGAUUACAUUUGUGUGUUGAAAUAACUACCAGUGAUAUUGGGUUAUAACGAACUGGUGGUGUGUAUCUGCAUAUUAAAGUGGUGGGUAGUGAUAAUAUGUAUAAUUGUGAGGGUGGGAAGACAGUGAUAAUGGGAUUUGUGAACUGUAGGAGGUGAUGGGUAUGCACAGUAAAAAGAGUAGGUAGCGAGGACGCAUGUUUGAUGCUGAGCAUAGUGAUGUGAGGGGCAUAAGCAUUGUGGUGAUAUUUAUGUGGCAUGGACCUGCUGUUCUUGGAAAAGUAGGCAGUUCUCAUAGGUGAGUUCAUGUGAAGGUCUCCAUAAAGGUGAGAUGUGUUCACACAUACAAGUAGCUGCAGUAGAAUAAGCAGCUAUUGGUUUUGUUUUUCUCUUUUGCAUAUAGAUGUGCUGAGGGAGUGUUGAUUCAGUAAGCAAAUAUGGUGCACGUGUCAGUGAGUAACUGUGUCUGGUUCAUACAGAACAGGCAGGUGGUGGUUGUGUUUGGAAGCUGGCAAAAUGGUUAUAUGUAAAUAUAGGAGCAGACUGCGUGGAGUGACUGCAUGUACGGAGCAAAGAGACCUAAUGCCUGGAAGGAGGUGUGGAUGUGAAGGUGACCAGUAUUUGCCCAGAGUGUUGAAAUGCAGUUCUAGGGCAUGCUUCUGGUGUCAAUGUUUUUGGAGCUGGUGGCGUGGAUGAGGUGCAUGAGGAAUCAGUGUCUGACUGGGCAUGACAGCAUGAGUAGUGAUUGGUUUUGAUUGCAUUUGUCUAGGAUUGGGUUGCAUGUAUGAAACAGCACAGUAUGGGUCAGUGUGUAGAAGCAGUUUGUGGCUGCACAUCCCUGUCAGAGAUAUGCAUAUGUUUUAAGUGAAGUAUUAAGGGGUGUGUGUGUGUGUAGCAGUGGUGAUUUAGCAUGUGAUGGUUCCAUUUGAAGCGAUACCGUGAAUGGAAGCAGUAUGUGAGGGGACAGAAGAGUGGACAGAUGGUGUGCUUGUGUGGCAGCAUAGCUGGGAUGUUCUUGGCACCAUCAUGGUGCAGAUAGCAAAGGGUAGCAUUGGUGUUCAGAGCCAGAAGGUGUACUAGGGUGUGAGAAUGGGGCAGGGCUCAGGACAUAACAUGGAGAACAGGGCAGGGCUGUAAAGUAUUGGAUGCCACUUACAUGUGAUGUCCGACAACGGAGGUGAGAUAGAACGAGGUGGAGAGCAUGGAGCUGUGUGAUGGUGGGAAGUGCAGGCACUGCAGGUUCCAGGCAGUGCACAGCCUCAGGUUGUGGAGUAUGUAUUCAGUGCCGUGCGUGGUGGCAGCUCUGUGGAGUGGGCAACGUGGACGGUGCAGGGAGAGGAGAAUGCAGCAGCUGCGUGGGGAUGAAAACUGCCCGCCCACCCAUGACCCAGGCUUUUGUUCUAGAGUGGGAAGCAUGGUCCUUCUGCUCAGGGUGCCCCCGGGCCCAGAUGCCACGGAGCACGGAGGCGCAGGAGGAGAUGCUGCCCUCGUUGGAGCCACUGAAGAGCGGGAGAGCAGCUCAGGAUGAAAGGAGGCAAUACAGCCCGGUGACGCGCCGCUGCCUAUUAAUCAUUCACCAGCCGGGGAGCAGCGAUUCCUGAGCUCGGUGCGAGCAGCGCCGGCGGCCGCCUCCGUCCGUCCCCGUGCCCGCGCCCGGAGCACCGCGCCGGAGGGAGCCC